UCUACGGGAGGCAGCAGUGGGGAAUAUUGCGCAAUGGGCGAAAGCCUGACGCAGCGACGCCGCGUGAGGGAUGAAGGUCUUCGGAUCGUAAACCUCUGUCAGCAGGGAAGAACGGUCACUGUGCUAAUCAGCAGUGAAUUGACGGUACCUGCAAAGGCAGCACCGGCUAACUCCGUGCCAGCAGCCGCGGUAAUACGGAGGGUGCGAGCGUUAAUCGGAAUUACUGGGCGUAAAGCGCUCGUAGGCGGUAUGUCAAGUCAAGGGUGAAAUCCCCGCGCUCAACGUGGGAACGGCCUUUGAAACUGGCAAACUGGAGUGUGUGAGAGGAUAGUGGAAUUCCAGGUGUAGGAGUGAAAUCCGUAGAUAUCUGGAGGAACAUCAGUAGCGAAGGCGACUAUCUGGCACAUAACUGACGCUGAGGAGCGAAAGCGUGGGUAGCAAACAGGAUUAGAUACCCGAGUAGUC
rnacentral:rRNA from 1 species